CUUAAAACCGGUUACCUCUCUAAUAUUUUCCAGUUCUGAAUGAUCUGAAACCUUUGCUGGAAUCUACCCAGCCCCACGAAGACAGAAUGAUUUAGCACGGUAGAUAAAGGGGAGCCAGUGGAUGUCACAUGCUAUAUCUCGAUGAGAUGCCUCACCGGAUUCUCACACAAGCUUAGGGCUCACAGAGCUCAGGGUGAUAUUUAGCAUGGUUAACAAACAUAAACAAACCGAACAAAUAAGUUGCAAGUAUGACCUUUUGCAAUCCUACAACCUGGGUUCUCUUUCUGACAAUUACGAGCAACACGGAAAAUCAGGCAAAAAAAGUGUACAAAACUGAAU